UGUUUUUCUAGUUGUAAUUUUGGAUUGCACAUUCGUCUUUAGUCCCAGUAGGGGGUACUGUUGUCUUUUCUCAUGUCGUUCAGUUGUUGUUUUUGACACAAAUCAAUGUCCAGUCACUAAUCUAGAGGAUUCAAUCAUGUUAGUCAAUGUCCAGUUUCUAGACUGGCAGAAUACCUGGAGUAGCUGCAUCACAGGGGUGCUGUGUUCAUUUGAAAGAGAAGUAUUAUAUAUAUAUAUUUUUAAAAUGUAUUUCCUCAUACUUGGUAGAGAGGACUAGAUUAUUUUAAAUUACCUAAGGAUAUACUGUUCGCAGGUUCAUAGUCGGCAGACGGAAUGCUUCAGAGAGCUUCAUCAAGUGUUCACCAGUUUCUCUGUGUCUGUGUAUCUCUGUGUACAGUGUACAUGCUCUUGGAGUCUCUCUGUGUAUAUUCGUAUGUGUGAAGAUUGUGUGUGUGUGUGUGUGUGUGUGUGUGUGUGUGUGUGCAGGUGAGGACGGCCUCCCUAUCACCUGCAUACAGAGUAGUUGGUGGCGUAUCAGAGCGAGGGAAGCGUCCUCUGUUUGAAUACCAGGUAAGAUUACAGAGACAGCAACAGCAGGCCUCCUUGGCUCCCGGGGGACCACCGCUCCUCAGACACCACUAUCUACAGGAGGAAGAAGGUUAUACUUCUGAUGAUUCUGAGGAGGAGGAGGAGGAGGCUCGGGGCCAAGGGCACACUCUGAGGGUCUCUAUCGACAUGCCUGAGGAGGAGGACAGGGCAGGGGGGCCCUCAGCCUGCCAGCUGUACCCAGCCAUGCUCCAGCUCCAACCGUCCCACGUCUCCUUCUCCCUCAUGUCUGGACUGCUGGUCAUGUUUCUCACCUUGUGUUGGUUGGUGUUUAUCUGACUGGCCGGUCCGGUGGAGAGAGAGAGCCCUAUACUGAAUUGAACCACCCAGUGACUGGCUGGUCCGGUGGAGAGAGAGAGCCCUCUAAUGAACUGAACCAGCUGGUGACUGGCUGGUCCGGUGGAGAGAGAGCGAGCCCUUUACUGAAAUGAACCACCAAGUGACUGGCCGGUCCGGUGGAGAGAGAGAGAGCUCCCUACUGAAGUACCCCUGUUGAAGGACAGAGACAAGACAUUUAUUCUCUGCUCCUCUCUGUAACUUAAUCUAACUCCAACACACAGACACACACACACACACACACACACACACACACACACACACACACACACACAGACAGACAGACAACGCAGACAGACACACACACACAGACAACGCAGACAGACAGACAGACAGACAGACAGACAGACAGACAUGGACAGACAUGGACAGACAUGGACAGACAUGGACAGACAUGGACAGACAGACACCAAUCCCUAUUGAACAUUACACUGAGUGAAUAAUUGUUGUUGCAUUGUGGAGUAUGGCAUUAUUGUUCUUGCCAGUACAUUUUUCUUCAGGAUGUGUUGAGCGCUGUACAUGGCUGAGCUCCCUCGCUGUACAUGGCUGAGCUCCCCAGAGCCUUAUAGCCCGACUUCAAGGAGCUUCUAAAACUUUUACUCACAAUAUCCCCUGGUGAAAAAGAAAAGCCAUCCAGUGUUACUAACAAACUUUGUCUGCUAACCUGACUCUUUCACGGCUUGUGUUUAGCCUGUAGACUACUGUAUAUUUUCUCUGUUCGUCCACAGAAUCUACCCGUAUCAUAGUCACGCAUCGAUGUCAAUGGAAGCCUAAGGGAAAAUGGGAUUUUAAUUUGUCUCUUAGUGUUCCUAUCAGUCAGUGUAGUAUAGUAU
rnacentral:lncRNA from 13 species